rnacentral:rRNA from 1 species
UACGAAGGGUGCAAGCGUUACUCGGAAUUACUGGGCGUAAAGCGUGCGUAGGUGGUGAGUUAAGUCUGUCGUGAAAGCCCCGGGCUCAACCUGGGAAUGGCGAUGGAUACUGGCUCGCUAGAGUGCGGUAGAGGAGAGUGGAAUUCCCGGUGUAGCAGUGAAAUGCGUAGAUAUUGGGAAGAACACCUGAGGCGAAGGCGGGUUGCUGGGCUGACACUGACGCUGAGGCGCGAAAGCCAGGGGAGCGAACGGG